GUUUUUUAGAUAGAAAUUAAACGCGUUUUUCUUUGAAAACGAGAAAACAUAUGAUUCAAAAACAGUAUUUGACAUUUGAGAGGACAAAACAUAUUAUUGCGAUACUGCAUGCAAAUUUUGUUGGGCAAAUUCCAAACAAUUUUGUCAAAAACUCAAAAAUAAAAACAUCAUUUGUACCUUUUUUAAUUACGGAAAUUUCCUAUCCGUCAAUCAGCUCCACC
rnacentral:lncRNA from 1 species